UAGGGAAUCUUCGGCAAUGGACGAAAGUCUGACCGAGCAACGCCGCGUGAGUGAAGAAGGUUUUCGGAUCGUAAAACUCUGUUGUUAGAGAAGAACAAGGACGUUAGUAACUGAACGUCCCCUGACGGUAUCUAACCAGAAAGCCACGGCUAACUACGUGCCAGCAGCCGCGGUAAUACGUAGGUGGCAAGCGUUGUCCGGACUUAUUGGGCGUAAAGCGAGCGCAGGCGGUUUCUUAAGUCUGAUGUGAAAGCCCCCGGCUCAACCGGGGAGGGUCAUUGGAAACUGGGAGACUUGAGUGCAGAAGAGGAGAGUGGAAUUCCAUGUGUAGCGGUGAAAUGCGUAGAUAUAUGGAGGAACACCAGUGGCGAAGGCGGCUCUCUGGUCUGUAACUGACGCUGAGGCUCGAAAGCGUGGGGAGCAAACAGG
rnacentral:rRNA from 1 species